CCUGUGACGGAUUUUAGGCUUGAAAAGUCGGGGGCGGGGGAAUGUAACCAGGACUCUCCCAUCCAAGGCAUGCAGACUGGGGAAUGUUUCGGUGUACAAGAGAUGAAAUAGGGAUGGAGUGCCCCCCACGUUCUUUCUGCAAGUGCCUAUUUGUGAGUGUGUGUAUCUGGGAUUUUCAGUGCUUUACCGGGGCUCUUGUGCAGAGUGCACGGUGAAGGCUGCGAGGGUCUCACUCUGUUACCCAGGCUGGAGUGGUGCAAUGGCACAAUCUCAGCUCACUGCAACCCCUGCCACUGCAACCCUUGCCUCCAGGUUCAAGUGCUUCUCUUGCCUCAGCCUUCCAAGUAGCUGGGAUUACAGGCACCUGCCACCACACCUGGCUGAUUUUUGUAUUUUUAACAGAGACGGGGUUUCACCAUGUUGGCCAAGCUGGUCUCAAACUCCUGACCUCAAGUGAUCUGCCUGCCUCAGCCUCCCAAAAUGCUGGGAUUACAGGUGUAAGCCACCAUGCCCAGCCAGGUAUGCAUUUCAUAGUGUAUGAAUCAUACCUCAAAAUUUAUAAAAAUAAAAAAGGAUUUUAAAAAAUGAACAGCCCUUUAGGUAUGGGAGGAGGCGAGGAGUAAGAAAGGUGAAUGGACUCUGCAUUACCACUUGCCGAUCGCUAGAUGUUAC
rnacentral:lncRNA from 10 species